rnacentral:lncRNA from 1 species
AGGGCGGCGGGCCCGGGGCAGGCUGGGAGUUGUAGGCGCGGCGGAAUGCCGGGAGCUGUCGUAAACGCCGCCCGCUCGCCGUGGCGGGCCCCACAGGCGGCACCGCGGCCCGGUCGGCACCACCGGCCUCCAAACGCCGCGUUGAGGGAGGCCCGGGCCCCGUCGGUGCUGCUGGAGGAACGUUGGCUUUGUGUAUGUGCGUCCCCCCCACCCCGAGCCAUGAGGAUCAGCCCCAGGAUGGCUAGCGCGGCCCGGCCCGGGGUGGCCGCCUCAGGCCCCGCGUUUGGCCGCCUUCCGUGUGAUGGAGCGACGUAGCCCAGUUGUGGGUUGACUUUUAGGGCUUGCAUCACCCCCACCCCCGGACGGGUUUGCAUCUGCGGUUGUCUGGAGCUGGCCACCUGCCCCAACUGCCAGGAGAUGCUGCAGAGAUGUGGAUCUCCAGAGCCUUGGCAAGGUAUCCUCACUCCAUGCCUUAGAAUCAUAGAAUCAUUGAGGUUGGAAGAGACCCUUGGGAUCAUCGAGUCCAACCAUCUCCCCUACUCUACAAAGUCCUCCCCUACACCAUGUCCCUCAGCACUGCAUCUAAACGGCCCUUAAACACAUCCAGGGAUGGUGACUCCACCCCCUCCCUGGGCAGCCUGUUCCAAUGCCCGACCACUCUUUCAGUGAAAAAUUCCUUCCUAAUGUUCAAUCUAAACCUCCCCUGUUGGAGCUUGAAGCCGUUCCCUCUCGUUCUAUUGUUAAUUACCUGUGAGAAGAGACCAGCACCAACCUCUCUACAGUGUCCUUUCAAGUAGUUGUAGAGAGUGAUGAGGUCUCCCCUCAGCCUCCUCUUCCUCAAACUAAACAGUCCCAGCUCCUUCAACCUCUCUUCAUAAGAUUGAUGCUCCAGCCCCCUCACCAGCUUCGUUGCCCUCCUCUGCACUCGCUCCAGCACCUCCAGAUCUCUCUUGUAUUGAGGUGCCCAAAACUGGACACAACACUCUUGGUGUGGGAGUGAAGUCUUCCAGAAGUCUGGUGGUUCCCAUCAGCUCAGCUCCUCGCUGGGAAGCGGGAACCAACCUGCAGAGGUUGGGAAUAACCCUGGAAAAGGGGAUGAUGUGCCUGGUGCCCUGGAAUGUGUGGUGACCGUAAGCAGGAGCUCCAGAACCUCUCUCUUGACCUUUGUGUGAUUCUUUCCCUUCCAGUGAGUCCCUUUCCCUGCCUGUGACUCAUCUUCUAAAUGCAGCCUGGGAGCCUCUCAGAGGACUGCUGCUCUCUUGGAACGGAGCAGCAUCAAAAAUAGCAGCGCUGCUGAAUAACAGGGAUUGUUUUUUUAACACAAAAAAACCCCCAAACAAACCAAACUUGAGGGGCUGCCUUGCUUGGAGCUGUGUUUCCAUCUCGAGGGAUUUCUGGGUUUCCCCAGAGAACAGAGGAGCACGUUCUGGCCUGCCCCACCACGAGAAGGUUGUUGAGGUGUGAGGCUCCAGCUGCGGUGGGUGGUAGGGGUUAGAAUAAAAGAUCUAUAGGCUCUGACCA